rnacentral:tRNA from 1 species
GCCUGGGUGGCUCAGUCGGUUGAGCGGCUGACUUCGGCUCAGGUCAUGAUCUUGCAGUCCGUGAGUUCGAGCCCCACGUCGGGCU